GGCAAACCCAGGGCAGCUGAAGAGGAACAUGUGAACUUAACUGCUGCACCACUGGCCUGGCCCCUUCUUUAUUUUUACUUGAGGAUGAUAGGCCCUGAGCUAACAUCUGUGUCAAUCUUCCUCUAUAUUUUUGGAUGUGGGACACCUCCAUAGCAUGACUGUUUUCAAGACAGGGAAGACUUCCAGGGCAGUGGUGGAGAGAAGAGAGAAUUGGGGACCAUAUAAUCCCCUGGAGCCUGGGAUGGACAUUUGGGUAGAUACACGAGUUACAGAUGGCCUUCACGAUGUCUCCUGAGCACAGAAGUCUAGUGUCCAUGAUGUGUGGGGGUUCUAAAAGACUCAAAGUGAGUUCAAGAUUUUCCUCUCACCAUUAAAAGGAAAUGUUGCUGACUCUGUCUGUGAACGGUAUGCUGAGUUGUUCUAGACCAUAGGCCAUAUUUGGUGCUUUUUGUUCUUACAAAUAUGGGCUACAGUACACUAAACAUCCAUACUAUUUCCUCAAGAUCAAAUUGCGUCCCAUGAUUGGCAUCUGCCUGACGUUGCCUAGAGAUGAGAAUUCAGUCUGUGCCUUUGAAACGCGUUUCUCUCACUAUGAAGCCAACUGGCCCACGUGGGAUUUGGCUCUACAAGUCUCCCUCAUUAACAGCUAAUGAGCAGAGCUCAAUGCUAAACAACAGGGCGAUUCCUGCUUUGAUUAUUCUAGGUUCAAGGUGGUGGCACUGGCCUGGAGACUGAAAACGGC
rnacentral:lncRNA from 1 species